rnacentral:rRNA from 1 species
ACUUAGUGGCAGACGGGUGAGUAACAUGUGGGUAUCUACCCUUUGGCCUGGAAUAACACGAGGAAACUUGUGCUAAUACCGGAUAAGUCUUUACGGAGAAAGCUUUAUGCACCAUUGGAUGAGCCCGCACUUGAUUAGUUUGUUGGUAGGGUAAUGGCCUACCAAGACUAUGAUCAAUAGCUGAUUUGAGAGGAUGAUCAGCCACAUUGGGACUGAGACACGGCCCAAACUCCUACGGGAGGCAGCAGUGGGGAAUCUUGCACAAUGGAGGAAACUCUGAUGCAGCGAUGCCGCGUGAGUGAAGAAGGCCUUUGGGUUGUAAAGCUCUUUCGUCGGGGAAGAAAAUGACUGUACCCGAAUAAGAAGGUCCGGCUAACUUCGUGCCAGCAGCCGCGGUAAUACGAAGGGACCUAGCGUAGUUCGGAAUUACUGGGCUUAAAGAGUUCGUAGGUGGUUGAAAAAGUUGGUGGUGAAAUCCCAGAGCUUAACUCUGGAACUGCCAUCAAAACUUUUCAGCUAGAGUAUGAUAG